GAUGAAGAACGUAGCGAAAUGCGAUACGUAAUGUGAAUUGCAGAAUUCAGUGAAUCAUCGAAUCUUUGAACGCAUAUUGCGCUCUUUGGUAUUCCGAAGAGCAUGCUUGUUUGAGUAUCAGUAAACACCUCAAAGCUUUUGGAUUUUUUAAUCGAAAAGCUUUGGACUUGAGCAAUCCCAACACCAAUCUUUUUGAGAUCGGUGGCGGGUUGCUUGAAAUGCAGGUGCAGCUGGACAUUCUCCUGAGCUAAAAGCAUAUUCAUUUAGUCCCGUCAAACGGAUUAUUACUUUUGCUGCAGCUAACAUAAAGGGAGUUUGACCGUAUUGGCUGACUGAUGCAGGAUUUCACAAGGGUCGGCAACGAUUCUUGUUAAACUCGAUCUCAAAUCAAGUAAGACAACCCGCUGAACUUAAGCAUAUCAAUAAGCGGAGGA
rnacentral:misc_RNA from 1 species